UUCCAUUGAAGCAGGGUCCGAUGAUUUUAGAAGCAAGUGGCUGGCUCCCCGAUUCCCUGAGAUCCUGCUUAGACAACAAAUCUCCUGUACAAAGAAAAGAGAUUCAGAUUUUUUGAUAUUUUCCCAUAGAACAAGAAUACUAUGAUGUUUGAUGCAAAAUGAAAAGGCACAGGAGGAAUUGCCCGGUCACUCUGUGGGACUGUCCAGUUUGGCCAAUGGACAUGGAAGAGGGGCAUUGCUUGCACAUGAUCACAUAUAUAACAUUAGUAGACAUGCAGGGCUUGGCUAUAGACAAUGGAUCGUGUGAUGUGUCCUGGAUGGAAGCUGGAGGCAUGUAGUCCUACAGUCCUACCUAAGGCGACAACUGCAAAAUCCAGGAAGAGGACGUAACUAUUAUGACCCCCUGAAUGAAUGAACUUUCUGUCUAUAUUGAGAAACCAGUCAGUGCUACCAUGAGGCUGAGCUGGAGAAUUCACUUUCAUGCUCCUUUCAAUGGAUAA